UUAUGAAAAACGAAACUCGUUCAAAAUAACGCUUAUUCGUUAAAUUGCGAUUAGAAAAAACGAUUGUAGUGGCAUUAAAUCGUCAAAUUGCGAUUAAGAAAAACGAGAAUCGUAAAAAUGACGAUACUCGUAUUUUUAUUUACGAGUGCCUUCAGUUCUCGUUCAGCUUUCGUUUUGGGGGUAGAUGUCAAAUGUCAUUUAUUUUUUUGUUUUUGUUUGGUUGGUUUUUGUUUUGUUAAGUGCGCAAAAAAUGCCUACAACUAAUGCUAAGCAGUUGGAUUUGCUGGUAACUUUUAUGGAAACCAAUCCAAACAUAGCAAAAAAUUACUUGCCGACGAGCCAAGCCAAAGCCAAAUCCAAAAUUCUUUGGAAGGCUUUGACUGAUAAGCUAAAUGCAUGCGGUCCUCCAGAGAAACUAAUGGAUGGUUGGAAAAGUGUAUGGAAAGAUUUUAGGUACACAUAUUUGAAUGCGUCCUUGUUCAAACGAUAAAGAAGCUUGAACCUGGCAAAUAUUUAAGGAGUUUUUUUUUAAUACUAGAUGGAAAGGAUUUCACUUUACUUACGUUGAACUUGGAAGGCUCAUUGGGUUCGAUGAAUCUCUUAAAACUCUUCUUUUUAUACGCAUUUCCUCUUCUUAGUUAGUUUGGGAUUCAUCUUCGCUUUCAAGGAAAUAGUCGCAGUGAAAAAACAUUUCAUAGAAUUUAUGCAAAUUACAUUUAUUUUUGAAAUUUCCUCGACUUUAUUUAUAUUUUGACAUUUGUUAAUAGGAGUGAAGUUAGUUGCUCCUUUAACAAAUUAUCAUUUUUCGUUUUUGCCUGGCAACUUUUUUUGCUUUCUAUUUUCGUAUCUUAUAAUCGCUCUUCACCAUGACUUUCGUUUCUUCGAGUUUCGUUUUUUCUGCCGUUCGUUUCGUAAUUCAUAAUAAGGGC